CAACGAGUGGCGGACGGGUGAGUAACACGUAGGUAACCUGCCCAGAAGCGGGGGACAACAUUUGGAAACAGAUGCUAAUACCGCAUAACAGCGUUGUUCGCAUGAACAACGCUUAAAAGAUGGCUUCUCGCUAUCACUUCUGGAUGGACCUGCGGUGCAUUAGCUUGUUGGUGGGGUAACGGCCUACCAAGGCGAUGAUGCAUAGCCGAGUUGAGAGACUGAUCGGCCACAAUGGGACUGAGACACGGCCCAUACUCCUACGGGAGGCAGCAGUAGGGAAUCUUCCACAAUGGGCGCAAGCCUGAUGGAGCAACACCGCGUGAGUGAAGAAGGGUUUCGGCUCGUAAAGCUCUGUUGUUAAAGAAGAACACGUAUGAGAGUAACUGUUCAUACGUUGACGGUAUUUAACCAGAAAGUCACGGCUAACUACGUGCCAGCAGCCGCGGUAAUACGUAGGUGGCAAGCGUUAUCCGGGAUUUAUUGGGCGUAAAGAGAGUGCAGGCGGUUUUCUAAGUCUGAUGUGAAAGCCUUCGGCUUAACCGGAGAAGUGCAUCGGAAACUGGAUAACUUGAGUGCAGAAGAGGGUAGUGGAACUCCAUGUGUAGCGGUGGAAUGCGUAGAUAUAUGGAAGAACACCAGUGGCGAAGGCGGCUACCUGGUCUGCAACUGACGCUGAGACUCGAAAGCAUGGGUAGCGAACAGGAUUAGAUACCCUGGUAGUCCAUGCCGUAAACGAUGAGUGCUAGGUGUUGGAGGGUUUCCGCCCUUCAGUGCCGGAGCUAACGCAUUAAGCACUCCGCCUGGGGAGUACGACCGCAAGGUUGAAACUCAAAGGAAUUGACGGGGGCCCGCACAAGCGGUGGAGCAUGUGGUUUAAUUCGAAGCUACGCGAAGAACCUUACCAGGUCUUGACAUCUUGCGCCAACCCUAGAGAUAGGGCGUUUCCUUCGGGAACGCAAUGACAGGUGGUGCAUGGUCGUCGUCAGCUCGUGUCGUGAGAUGUUGGGUUAAGUCCCGCAACGAGCGCAACCCUUGUUACUAGUUGCCAGCAUUAAGUUGGGCACUCUAGUGAGACUGCCGGUGACAAACCGGAGGAAGGUGGGGACGACGUCAGAUCAUCAUGCCCCUUAUGACCUGGGCUACACACGUGCUACAAUGGACGGUACAACGAGUCGCGAACUCGCGAGGGCAAGCAAAUCUCUUAAAACCGUUCUCAGUUCGGACUGCAGGCUGCAACUCGCCUGC
rnacentral:rRNA from 2 species